AACAUUCCUAAUAUUAACCAACCAUAGGCCUUAGAAGAGCUAGCCUACUAAUAUAGUAUGUAUGUUUAUGUCAAUAUAUCUAGGCUUAAGCACAAGCCCAUAGGAAGGUUUUUAUUUUAUUUUUUAAAAUAAAAAGAAAACCAAAAGCCUAUCUAUCACACAUACAUAUCAGACACAAAUUAAACAUAGUAGUAGUUCCAUAGGAGGAGGAGUUAUUGUAACUAGCUCAUUUUAGCUUUCCCACGUUGUACUAAUCAGUUGCAAAGUCGAACUAAAUACAUCUUCAAUUCCUAAGGAAAGAAGAAAAUGAGAUCCUAAUGAGGCAGGCAGCCUAUUUGAUUAAUGCUUGAAGAAUUCAAAUGCAAAUUAGUGGAGUACUACUUAGGAGUAGUAGUAUAAGAGAAUUAGCUAGGCAGUUAGCUAGCUUACGUACUACGAUGUCCCCCCUAUGUGCUUACAUCCCUCGAGUCUCUAGCUGACGUUAUUUGUGCGUGUGUGAGAGAGAGAGAGAGAGAGAGGGAGAGAGGGAGGGAGAGUGACUGUGUGAUUAGCUUAAAAU
rnacentral:lncRNA from 1 species